rnacentral:rRNA from 1 species
ACCUGAAACCAUAAGCCUACAAGCAGUCGAAGGGCUAAUGGCGUGUCGGUGCUCCAUCGAAAGGUGGGUGCGCGGCGCUAUGCCUGACGGCGUGCCUCUUGGAGAAUGAGCCUGCGAGUUAAUCUCAGUGGCGAGGUUAAGGCAGAAACAGCCGCAGCCGCAGCGAAAGCGAGUCUGAAUAGGGCGAGAGUCGCUGGGAUUAGACACGAAACCGGGUGAGCUACUUAUGGCCAGGGCGAAGCGGGGGUAAAAGCUCGUGGAGGCCCGAACCUACUAAUGUUGCAAAAUUAGGGGAUGAGCUGUGAGUAGAGGUGAUAUGCCAAACGAACUCGGAGAUAGCUUGUUCUCCCCGAAAUAGCUUUAGGGCUAGCGCUAUCUGUUCAGUAUUGGAGGUAGAGCACUGAAUGGGCUAAGGGGCUUAAUGCUUACUGAACCCAAUCAAACUCCGAAUGCCAGUACUCCAGAGGAUAGCAGUCGGACUACGGGAGAUGAGUUUCGUGGUCAAAAGGGAAACAGCCCAGAUCAUCGGCUAAGGUCCCCAAAUCCAAGCUAAGUGGGAAACGAUGUGGGGUUACUGAAACAACCAGGAGGUUGGCUUAGAAGCAGCCACCCUUUAAAGAGUGCGUAAUAGCUCACUGGUCUAGUGAUCCUGCGCGGAAAAUUUAACGGGGCUAAGCUUGGUACCGAAGCCAUGGGAUUCACCCAUUUUGGGUGGAUCGGUAGGGGAGCGUUCUGCCAGCAGAGAAGCGGUACCGUAAGGAGCCGUGGAGCGGGCAGAAGUGAGAAUGCAGGCAUGAGUAGCGUAAAACACGUGAGAACCGUGUUCACCGUAAGUCUAAGGUUUCCGACGCCAGGUCAAUCCGCGUCGGGUUAGUCGGGUCCUAAGCCGAGGCCGAAAGGCGUAGGCGAUGGAUAGCCGGUCAACAUUCCGGCACCACUUUUGUGGAGCGAUGAGGGGACGCAGCGAGGUAGGCCAGCCCGCGAAUGGUAGUGCGGGUGUAUGCGGUGUCAGACGAUGAGAGGGGUAGGAAAAUCCGCCCUUUGAGUUGAGACCGUGUAACGAGCCCCUGAGGCGUAAGUGAGUUGAGCCUUGCUGCCAAGAAAAGCCUCUAAGCGAUGAAGCGAGAGUGCCCGUACCGCAAACCGACACUGGUAGACGGGUAGAGUAUACCAAGGUGAACGGGAAAACCUUCGUUAAGGAAUUAGGCAAAUUAGCCCCGUAACUUCGGGAGAAGGGGUGCCCCUGAGGGUGAGCGCAAGCGUAGCCCAUGGGGGACGCAGUGAUCAGGCUCUAGUGACUGGUUAACAAAACCACAGGUCUCUGCAAAGCCGAAAGGCGAUGUAUAGGGGCUGACGCCUGCCCAGUGCCGGAAGGUUAAGGGGAGAGGUUAGCGCAAGCGAAGCUUUGAACUGAAGCCCCGGUGAACGGCGGCCGUAACUAUAACGGUCCUAAGGUAGCGAAAUUCCUUGUCGGGUAAGUUCCGACCCGCACGAACGGCGUAACAACUAGAGCACUGUCUCAACGAAGGACCCGGCG